rnacentral:rRNA from 1 species
AAAAACAUCGCCUCUUGCUAAACCAAAAGUAUAAGAGGUCCCGCCUGCCCUGUGACUAUAUGUUUAACGGCCGCGGUAUUUUGACCGUGCGAAGGUAGCGCAAUCACUUGUCUUUUAAAUGGGGACCUGUAUGAAUGGCAUAACGAGGGCUUAACUGUCUCCUUUUUCAAGUCAGUGAAAUUGAUCUCCCCGUGCAGAAGCGGGGAUAGGCACAUAAGACGAGAAGACCCUGUGGAGCUUCAGACACUAAAGCAGAUCAGUAUUAAUACCCUGAACAUAAGGCACGAAUAAGAUGAUUCCUGCCCUAAUGUCUUCGGUUGGGGCGACCGCGGAGAAAUAUAUAACCCCCGCAAGGACUGAAUGUACUACAUUCACAACCAAGAGUGACAACUCUAAUUAACAGAACUUCUGACCAAUAAGAUCCGGCAAUGCCGAUUAAUGAACCAAGUUACCCCAGGGAUAACAGCGCAAUCUCCUCUUAGAGUCCAUAUCGACGAGGAGGUUUACGACCUCGAUGUUGGAUCAGGACAUCCUAAUGGUGCAACCGCUAUUAAGGGUUCGUUUGUUCAACGAUUAAAGUCCUACGAGAUCUGAG